rnacentral:misc_RNA from 1 species
GCUAUUGCUGAAGCACUUAAACUUGGCCUUAUAGCUUCUCGACAGGAGCUCUUCAUCACUUCAAAGCUAUGGUGCAGCGAUGCACAUAGUGAUCGUGUUGUCACUGCUCUAAAUAAUUCUCUAAGUAAUCUUCAAUUGGAGUACGUGGAUCUCUAUCUCAUUCACUGGCCUGUCAGUUCUAAGCCAGGAAGGUAUGAGUAUCCAAUGCCUAAGGAGGAGCUUCAACCAAUGGACUAUAAGUCUGUGUGGGCAGCAGUGGAAGAGUGCCAGAGGCUUGGCCUCAC